CUUGUAUCCCUUGUUUCUGGUAUGCACGUAUAGGUCGUGGAGCCUCUGCGAAGUGGUUUAUCGCCCCAGUGUGUGUUUAAACCACCUAGCACGUUGACACACAUAGCUAAGUCCGCUUCGGAGAUACGGCCGGACUUCGAUACGGGUUCAACUUGGUUAGGUGGCUUCCUGGACAUUGUUGUCGUGAAGGAGAGUGCGAGUCGUUAUAUCCACCUGUCGCAAGUGGGUUGAUCGUGCGUGUGGGCACAUUUGGGCACCCCUGCAGGGUAAAAUCUUAUCGAUAAGCCGCGUCCGCGGUUAUGGACGACUUGGAGCUGUAUGACUCGACCAUAGACAACUUACACCUGUUGUUUAUUCAUAAUAACUUGUGUAGUAAGUUAGCACAACUCUAAUAAUAAAUGGUUAAAACUUGACAACCGUGUGGGUGCCUUUGUAAGUAUUUCUUGGCGAAGGGAGAACACAUCGGCUGAGUUAUGUUUGCAGAGUAUAGAACUGUUAGUUACGCUCUCUCACCUUCUCUGAUAGACGGCUGUUGUAGAGUGUCUCUAUAGGUUUUUAGUGCUUGCGCGCUGCCGCUUAACCCCACCAUAUUGCCUAUGACGUUCCUCUUGCGUCCUCUAAGUCCCCUGCGUGCCUCAAGUACAAAGGACGACUGGUUGACGAAUGCUUAUACGUCUUGAAGUCUUGUUAAGUACGAACCCGUACUUAUUGCUGCUUCUACGGGAUAUAACCGGGCAGGUAUGAAGAUAUGUUCGAUGAAGACGACGCUAGCAAGGUUACCCUUCCGGCUUGGCCUGGGCAGGGUUAUGGACGCUACUGGUUAUCUUCAGGACUCUUAGUCCAAAUUUGUAUCUUGUCCGUACUCGGACGUAUUCGAUCUUCUGUAUGAUUUGGAUCUUUGUAUGUAUCUAUUUGUAUCUUGACUCGUUGGAGUCGUUGUUGUAAUAUAUAUGUUUCUUGUGGGCUCUAUUGUAA